CGUCAGGUAGCUCAGUGGUUUACAGCAGUCGCCCAGCAUUCGAUUCACCCGAGCAAUCGACCCGGGUUCGAUUCCUGGUCUAGCGA
rnacentral:tRNA from 1 species